AGCAGCCGCGGUAAUUCCAGCUCCAAUAGCGUAUAUUAAAGUUGUUGCAGUUAAAAAGCUCGUAGUUGAAUUUCGGGACUAAUAUGUCGGUCGUACUUUGUACGUACUAGCAUUAUUGGUUUCUCCCUUCUGACGAACCACGAUGUCAUUAAUUUGGUGUCAUGGGAAAUCAGGACUGUUACUUUGAAAAAAUUAGAGUGUUUAAAGCAAGCUCGCGCUUGAAUACAUUAGCAUGGAAUAAUGAAAUAGGACGUUUGAUUCUAUUUUGUUGGUUUCUAGGAUCGACGUAAUGAUUAAUAGGGAUAGUUGGGGGCAUUAGUAUUCAAUUGUCAGAGGUGAAAUUCUUGGAUUUAUUGAAGACUAACUACUGCGAAAGCAUUUGCCAAGGAUGUUUUCAUUAAUCAAGAACGAAAGUUAGGGGAUCGAAGACGAUCAGAUACCGUCGUAGUCUUAACCAUAAACUAUGCCGACUAGGGAUCGGAUGAUGUUAAUUUUUAAUGACUCAUUCGGCGCCUUAAC
rnacentral:rRNA from 1 species